UAGGUAGAUUAUAUUUAUUGGAUAGUUGUUCAAAACACAUAAAACAUCCAUCUAAAAACAAAUCACAAAAAAAUACUUAAUCCCUUCCUCUUCCAUAACAGAAAGGCUUGAUCAGUACUAGAGGGUUGAAAGAAAAAAUUAGAUAUGAUAGAACUCGAUAAGAUAAAAUCAUUCAAUCCAAAAAACUUACGUAAUUGAAACCAUAUUCGCAAUGUGUGUCUUAUUAUUGGAUUAAUCGUAUAUUUAUUCAAUCUCGUAAUUGUAAAAGGUAACUAAAAGAAAAUGAAUAGAA